rnacentral:misc_RNA from 1 species
UCCCAUAAACCGUGGCUCAGUUCAGAUCGUAGGCUGCAACUCGCCUACGUGAAGGCGGAAUCGCUAGUAAUCGCAGGUCAGCAUACUGCGGUGAAUACGUUCCCGGGCCUUGUACACACCGCCCGUCACACCAUGGAAGUUGGCCACGCCCGAAGCCGUUACUCCAACCCUUGUGGAGGAGGACGUUGAAGGUGGGGCUGAUGACUGGGGUGAAGUCGUAACAAGGUAUCCGUACCGGAAGGUGCGGAUGGAUCACCUCCUAACAGGGAGACAACACAAUGAUUUUGAUGCCUGAGUGCUUUUAUCCUUAGGCCGAAAUCCUGUCACCUUAGGUCGAUCGGUACCUCAGCUUUGAAGUCAAGAAUGAGCAGCAAUGUUGAUUGCUUGAUGGAGAUUUUCAGUUCCUAAACUUUGUCUAGGUCACACCCCAAAAGGGAUGAGACUCCUGGGCCAUUAGCUCAGGUGGUUAGAGCGCACCCCUGAUAAGGGUGAGGUCCCUGGUUCAAGUCCAGGAUGGCCCAUUCGGUGUUGGGGGUUUAGCUCAGUUGGUAGAGCGCCUGCUUUGCAAGCAGGAUGUCAGGAGUUCGAGUCUCCUAACCUCCACUGACCGAACUUUUUCCCCAUCUCCAAAUCGUUGGAGUUGAGCUCGAUUGGCGUGUGAUUUAGAUGUGUCCGCUGGAUGACCCCAGCUUCCUGUCAUUCCAAGUUUUAAGUUGAAAGCUUUGAAUUUGGUUGAUAAGAUGCUGGGCU